GACGAACGCUGGCGGCGUGCUUAACACAUGCAAGUCGAACGGAAAGGCCCUGCAUUUGUGGGGUGCUCGAGUGGCGAACGGGUGAGUAACACGUGAGUAACCUGCCCUUGACUAUGGGAUAACUUCAGGAAACUGGGGCUAAUACCGGAUAGGAGCUCCUGCGGCAUGGUGGGGGUUGGAAAGUUUCGGCGGUUGGGGAUGGACUCGCGGCUUAUCAGCUUGUUGGUGGGGUAGUGGCUUACCAAGGCUUUGACGGGUAGCCGGCCUGAGAGGGUGACCGGCCACAUUGGGACUGAGAUACGGCCCAGACUCCUACGGUAGGCAGCAGUGGGGAAUAUUGCACAAUGGGCCGACGCCUGAUGCAGCAACGCCGCGUGCGGGAUGACGGCCUUCGGGUUGUAAACCGCUUUCGCCUGUGACGAAGCGUGAGUGACGGUAAUGUGUAAAGAAGCACCGGCUAACUACGUG
rnacentral:rRNA from 1 species